UCCCUGGUGGCUCAGAGGUUAAAGCGUCUGCCUGCAAUGCAGGAGACCCGGGUUUGAUCCCUGGGUCGGGAA
rnacentral:tRNA from 1 species